rnacentral:rRNA from 1 species
AGUCGAACGAUACCAUUUAGCUUGCUAAAUGGGAAAGUGGCGCACGGGUGCGUAACGCGUAUGCAACCUACCUCAAUCAGGGGGAUAGCCCGAAGAAAUUCGGAUUAACACCGCAUAAAAUCACAGGAUAGCAUUAUCCAAUGAUCAAAUAUUUAUAGGAUUGAGAUGGGCAUGCGUGUCAUUAGUUAGUUGGCGAGGUAACGGCUCACCAAGACCACGAUGACUAGGGGAUCUGAGAGGAUGACCCCCCACACUGGUACUGAGACACGGACCAGACUCCUACGGGAGGCAGCAGUAAGGAAUAUUGGUCAAUGGAGGCAACUCUGAACCAGCCAUGCCGCGUGCAGGAAGACAGCCCUCUGGGUCGUAAACUGCUUUUAUUCGGGAAUAAACCUACUUACGUGUAAGUAGCUGAAUGUACCGAAGGAAUAAGGAUCGGCUAACUCCGUGCCAGCAGCCGCGGUAAUACGGAGGAUCCAAGCGUUAUCCGGAUUUAUUGGGUUUAAAGGGUGCGUAGGCGGCUUAUUAAGUCAGGGGUGAAAGACGGUGGCUCAACCAUCGCAGUGCCCUUGAUACUGAUGAGCUUGAAUACACUAGAGGUAGGCGGAAUGUGACAAGUAGCGGUGAAAUGCAUAGAUAUGUCACAGAACACCGAUUGCGAAGGCAGCUUACUAUGGUGUUAUUGACGCUGAGGCACGAAAGCGUGGGGAUCAAACAGGAUUAGAUACCCUGGUAGUCCACGCCCUAAACGAUGAAUACUCGCUGUUAGCGAUACACAGUUAGCGGCUAAGCGAAAGCGUUAAGUAUUCCACCUGGGGAGUACGGUCGCAAGAUUGAAACUCAAAGGAAUUGACGGGGGCCCGCACAAGCGGAGGAGCAUGUGGUUUAAUUCGAUGAUACGCGAGGAACCUUACCCGGGCUUGAAAGUUAGUGAAUCAUUUAGAGAUAGAUGAGUGAGCAAUCACACGAAACUAGGUGCUGCAUGGCUGUCGUCAGCUCGUGCCGUGAGGUGUUGGGUUAAGUCCCGCAACGAGCGCAACCCCUAUGUUUAGUUGCCAGCACGUUAAGGUGGGGACUCUAAACAGACUGCCUGUGCAAACAGAGAGGAAGGAGGGGACGACGUCAAGUCAUCAUGGCCCUUACGUCCGGGGCUACACACGUGCUACAAUGGAUGGUACAGAGGGCAGCAAGCUGGCAACAGCAAGCAAAUCUCAAAAAGCCAUUCACAGUUCGGAUAGAGGUCUGCAACUCGACCUCUUGAAGUUGGAUUCGCUAGUAAUCGCGUAUCAGCAAUGACGCGGUGAAUACGUUCCCGGGCCUUGUACACACCGCCCGUCAAGCCAUGGAAGUUGGGGGUACCUAAAGUAUGUAACCGCAAGGAG